UCUGGGCUUGUGUGCCUCCCUCAUCCCUAUGCUCGUUAAUGUCAUCAGUGAGGAAGAUGAGGCCUCCAGUGCCUAACAGUGCAAGCGUGGUAGCACAAUGCUGAAAACCAGAAGCGACCAGACUUCAGACAAAGAUUGAGUAGGGAAGCUGCUGAGGCCUCCACGCAGUUGUCUGACCAAGGUAGAUGUGAAACCGCCUCACGACUCAGCCUCUUCUCCGCAGUCUCUGAGGAUGCACCUUCCACCACAACACAUCCCAUCUUUACCUCUCCAGCUCUGCAUCAAGUGCAAGCUUUUCAUUCUCCAGAAAAGGCAGGAACAAUGACUCAUGAACAACAGGAUGCAAAAAAAACCCGUCAAUGCAUUCAUCUUUCCUGAAGCGAUCAGGUCCUGAUGACUCGAGCUCAGCGCGCGUCAGGGAGAGCUACGCGCAGAGCAGCAGGGAGAGCUGUGGUUUGCAUUGGCCCCGGGUGCGGAUGUUUCCUGAAGAGUUGUGUGAGAAGGACCUAUUAACCACCAACCCGUGCCCCCCACCUCCGUAUGGGGGUAUUUUGAGAGGACCUUGACUCACAGGCGUCGGUGAAGGAGUGAGCGCAGCACCACGUGCAGAAACUGCUGUUACUCAUUUACCUACCAAGGCAGCCAGAUGCUUUCCUGAGGAUCGCCGCCAAUGUUGCGUCAUCAAAGGUGAACUGAUGUCAAGACACUGCAGAGGACAUGCUGAGAGACUGAGCUUAUGCAGAAACCAUGGUUUGUUUCCCCAGAUCUUCACACACAUCUGUACUUACCCACUCACGCACAUAAUGCUGAAAGAGCAGCUGUUAUAGGGAGAACCAUCUCCUCAAACUGGUCUGCUUCCCCCAGCUCACGCCUUCUGCCUCCCUCCCUCUGUGAGAUGCACCAAAUUUCAGGGCAGACCAAAAAACCCUAUUCAUUUGGACCUAUCCAUGACCUGAACUUGAUCAAAAAAGCAUCCCUGCCAAACCUGUAAAAUGAGGAGGGUUUGGGGGGACUGCUUUCUCCUAUGAUUUGAUAUAGAGCUGUUCAUUGCGUGUGGAAAAACAUUAUCAUCUUGUUAGAGAAGUCCUGGAGCAUUCUCUCGUGCUGCUGCAUGGCUGCAUCUCUAGCAUAAAUCAAGGACCCUAAGCUGAUCUAAUGUCUGCCUUAUUUACUAUGCAGAGUUUUAAAUUAUAUAUUUAGGAUUGUUGUUGUUUUUUGCCUUCAUCUGAAUUUAAAAACAGUUCCCAGCAAUGGAGUAUUGAACAAAAACUUUGAGAUUGAUGGACUUGGUUGGUUUUGUGUGGGGAAGUAAAGGGUGUUUCAGCUCUGACAGUUGUACUUCAGAUUCCCUACUUAGUUGGUAAUUUUCUUUAAGAUUUAAAUACUCUCCAGGAUGGAAUUAAAAUUGUACUUUUCAAAUUUAGUGCACAUUAGGACUUGUAAAUUCUCUGGUGGUACACUAGCCUGGGGAAAAUGCUCAUUAAUAUCUGUUAUUGUUUUACUAUCAAUAAUUCUUAAGGCCUGUUCCACAAAUACUUUGAGUAAAAAGCUUAGUGGCAAUUUCCUCAGUGCUCUUAGGAUCAUGAGGGUGGCAACAGAAAACAGUUAUAACACUGACUUUUUUGAUUUGCUCUGCCGAAUCAUUUAGCAAAUAAUAUCAGCACCAAGGUGGGAGCAGUCGUCUCCCAUUCCCCUGCUCUGCAGCUCUGAACCAAUAGCUCCCACCUUUCCUGCACGUAGGGACCAAUUAUUUUGUGUUAUUAUACAUUCUCUUAAAAUCAAGCCUUUCCCUUCAUGCACGAAAACUUUGACGUGAUAUUUCUCAGCUUUCAGUAUUACUGAGCAACACCUAGAGUUUCCAGCGACGCCACUUUGGACAGCCCCGCUGGUGGGCAGAAGGUGGGGAAGGAAGAGGGGAGGUGGCCACUGGGAGGAGUUGGGGGAAUGGAGAAGACGUGCCCACCGUCCCACUGCUUUCCUGUGCAGGUGAACCCUUCAGCUUGCCCGGACUCAGCAGAAACCUGGCCUCCGUGCCCACACAGCUCACACCACACUCCUGGGGUUUAAUUCUCCUGGGCAAACCAGAGGUUUUAUUCUGGUGGGGACUCUCAUGCUCUUUUUCUCCAGCAAGCACGGAACUUCUUCCACCGGUUGGGUGUCAGCUGAUGAGGUACUAGAGAGUUGGAUGAUGAAAUCCCCAGUCUGAUGCCGCUUCUUCUCUGAAAUAAUGCUCCAGCACUGACAUCCACUUACUUAUCUAAACACCGGCUAACUUUUUGUCUGUUUUCUCUAAGCUGUUGUGGGUUUUGUUUCCAGUAGGCGUAUUACUUGAUUAAUGAUCUUUCUGUUAACACUUGCUCAUAUUCCAUAUGGGAUCUUCUUGGGUUAUCUAAAUGCACAAAAUACUUAAAACAAUCUUUUUUUCUCGGCUCAACUCUGGUUUUAAUAGCACAAUAUAUUUCUCCCUACUCCAAAGGAAAAAAAAAAGCAUUUUCUAGUUUGUCCAAGCUCACGUUGAAUGUUACUUGUGAUUCAUGUUGUCACCUUGUAUAGUAUUCCAAGAAAACAGAGCAUAGAUGGGUUCUGUCAGGAAAGGUUUUGUAAUGUAUUUGUCAUUUCUCUCUGUCUAGAUUAAGGGCUAAAUUUUGUGAUGGUAGAUGAAUUUGUAGACCCCAUCUUUCUGAAAUCACACCAGGUAUUCAAAAGAGGGAGGCUGCUUUUCUUUCAGCCAAUGAUAAUAACAGUUCCUUGGAUGCAAAUCGAAAAAUAUUUACAUCGGUAUAAAUAAGGAGUGUGUAACUAUAAAUAAAGAACACAGGUAAUAAAAUGUUAUCAUUGAAGUUGAAAUUAAAAUUGAAUCCUGCCAAGCCCUAAACAUAGAUCAUGACAGAAAAAUCCAAUACAAUUUUUUUUUUUUUUUUUUUGGAGGUGUUGUAAUUAUAGACUAGGUGAAGGGAAAAAAACAUUAUA